GAUGAACGCUGGCGGCGUGCCUAAUACAUGCAAGUCGAGCGAACGGACGAGAAGCUUGCUUCUCUGAUGUUAGCGGCGGACGGGUGAGUAACACGUGGAUAACCUACCUAUAAGACUGGGAUAACUUCGGGAAACCGGAGCUAAUACCGGAUAAUAUUUUGAACCGCAUGGUUCAAAAGUGAAAGACGGUCUUGCUGUCACUUAUAGAUGGAUCCGCGCUGCAUUAGCUAGUUGGUAAGGUAACGGCUUACCAAGGCAACGAUGCAUAGCCGACCUGAGAGGGUUGUCGGCCACCCUGGAACUGAGACACGGUCCAGACUCCUACGGGAGGCAGCAGUAGGGAAUCCUCCGCAAUGGGCGAAAGCCUGACGGAGCAACGCCGCGUGAGUGAUGAAGGUCUUCGGAUCGUAAAACUCUGUUAUUAGGGAAGAACAUAUGUGUAAGUAACUGUGCACAUCUUGACGGUACCUAAUCAGAAAGCCACGGCUAACUACGUG
rnacentral:rRNA from 1 species